UACGUAGGGUGCGAGCGUUGUCCGGAAUUAUUGGGCGUAAAGAGCUCGUAGGCGGCUUGUUGCGUCGGAUGUGAAAGCCCGGGGCUUAACUCCGGGUCUGCAUUCGAUACGGGCAGGCUAGAGUUCGGUAGGGGAGAUCGGAAUUCCUGGUGUAGCGGUGAAAUGCGCAGAUAUCAGGAGGAACACCGGUGGCGAAGGCGGAUCUCUGGGCCGAUACUGACGCUGAGGAGCGAAAGCGUUGGGGAGCGAACAGG
rnacentral:rRNA from 1 species